AGUGAACGCUGGCGGUAGGCCUAACACAUGCAAGUCGAACGGCAGCACAGUAAGAGCUUGCUCUUAUGGGUGGCGAGUGGCGGACGGGUGAGGAAUACAUCGGAAUCUACUCUGUCGUGGGGGAUAACGUAGGGAAACUUACGCUAAUACCGCAUACGACCUACGGGUGAAAGCAGGGGAUCUUCGGACCUUGCGCGAUUGAAUGAGCCGAUGUCGGAUUAGCUAGUUGGCGGGGUAAAGGCCCACCAAGGCGACGAUCCGUAGCUGGUCUGAGAGGAUGAUCAGCCACACUGGAACUGAGACACGGUCCAGACUCCUACGGGAGGCAGCAGUGGGGAAUAUUGGACAAUGGGCGCAAGCCUGAUCCAGCCAUACCGCGUGGGUGAAGAAGGCCUUCGGGUUGUAAAGCCCUUUUGUUGGGAAAGAAAUCCAGCCGGCUAAUACCUGGUUGGGAUGACGGUACCCAAAGAAUAAGCACCGGCUAACUUCGUGCCAGCCGCCGC
rnacentral:rRNA from 1 species